rnacentral:rRNA from 1 species
ACGAACUGUGCGAACGUUAUUCGGAAUCACUGGGCUUAAAGGGUGCGUAGGCGGUUAUUUAAGUAGGAUGUGAAAUCUCCCGGCUCAACCGGGGAACUGCGUUCUAAACUGGAUAACUUGAGUAAGAUAGAGGUGUGCGGAACUUCCGGUGGAGCGGUGAAAUGUGUUGAUAUCGGAGGGAACACCGUUGGCGAAAGCGGCACACUGGGUCUUAACUGACGCUGAGGCACGAAAGCCAGGGGAGCAAACGGG